rnacentral:rRNA from 1 species
GACGAACGCUGGCGGUGUGCUUCACACAUGCAAGUCGAACGAGGUAGCAAUACCUAGUGGCGGACGGGUGAGUAACGCGUGGGAAUCUGCCUUUGGAUGGGGGAUAACGGGUCGAAAGACUCGCUAAUACCGCAUAUGACGAAAGUUGAAAGGAGUAAUCCGUCUAAAGAUGAGCCCGCGUCCGAUUAGCUAGUUGGUAGAGUAAAAGCCUACCAAGGCGACGAUCGGUAGCUGGUCUGAGAGGAUGAUCAGCCACAAUGGGACUGAGACACGGCCCAUACUCCUACGGGAGGCAGCAGUGGGGAAUUUUACGCAAUGGGCGAAAGCCUGACGUAGCGACACCGCGUGAGCGAAGAAGCCCCUUGGGGUGUAGAGCUCUGUCAGCUGGAACGAAAAAAUGACGGUACCAGCAGAGGAAGCAUCGGCUAACUACGUGCCAGCAGCCGCGGUAAU